rnacentral:sRNA from 2 species
UGUCAUCUUUGCUAUUUAACUAGAACUUGUGGCCCUGUUGGACCGUGAUAUAAAGUAUCGAUGAUACCGAUAAGUUGUAGAUUGAAUUCUAGUGGGGGUUCAAUGGCGAUGGUGGUUGUAGAUGAACGACAAGAUAUCAACCCAAAUCGAGCUACAUCGCGAGCAAUUCUCCUGGGACACAAACAACACCAACACACCUUGGACGAGCUGUUUUGUGGACGAUAGAUGGGAUGGGCUUGUCAUCAGACACCAAGGUGCAACUCAUUAGCUAUCACUACGAGAUAUGGCGACUUGCGGGGUUGUGGAGGAACUAUAUCGUGGCGGCUCUUCAGGUGUAGUUAACUAGUGGUUACUGGUACUUUC